rnacentral:rRNA from 1 species
GGGGAAUAUUGGACAAUGGGCGAAAGCCUGAUCCAGCCAUGCCGCGUGUGUGAAGAAGGUCUUCGGAUUGUAAACUUCUUUUAAGGGGGAAGAGUAGAAGACGGUACCCCUUGAAUAAGCCACGGCUAACUACGUGCCAGCAGCCGCGGUAAUACGUAGGUGGCAAGCGUUGUCCGGAUUUACUGGGUGUAAAGGGCGUGUAGCCGGGAAGGCAAGUCAGAUGUGAAAUCUGGAGGCUCAACCUCCAAACUGCAUUUGAAACUGCUUUUCUUGAGUGUCGGAGAGGUAAUCGGAAUUCCUUGUGUAGCGGUGAAAUGCGUAGAUAUAAGGAAGAACACCAGUGGCGAAGGCGGAUUACUGGACGAUAACUGACGGUGAGGCGCGAAAGCGUGGGGAGCAAACA